GAAAAAGGGAGCGAGAGGAGAAUCGCUGGGAGGAGAGGCUGGAGCGGAGGCUGAAGGGACGGACACCGGGAUAUACGGACGGGAGGUGUGUCCGCCGGGAUAGAGUUAUAUGCCGGCCCUCUACAUGUGUGUGAAAAGACUUAAUUUUAUUAGAUGGAAAAGGGAAAACAUUUCUCAAAGCAAAUGCGAUUCUUCUGAUGCGGUAACCAAUCAACUUUUUCCUGCAGAAGGGAACAAGCCCUGAAUAUGAUUACAAACUAAUGUGAAGAAUCCAAAAUGGAAAGUUUCAGUCGGAUUUCAGUGGGAUUCUGUUGCAUUUGGAAGUUUCUCUUUGGAGCUUUUGAUUAGGAAUUUACCUGGCGUUGGCAUGAAGAAGGAUGGUCACGUUUCCUGAGGAAGGGUCCUUUCUGGACCAGAAGCGCAUUGUUUUAUGUGCCAAUACACCAUAUUUUAGGACAUAAGCUUGUGUCCGAGUCCCUAACCAAGUUGGACCCGCGGCGGGAGAGCCUCUAUUUUACUUUAUUGCCAUUGUUUAUCCACCAGACUAGCAAAGCUAUCACCAGACGAGCCAUGGCUGCAGGUCCCAGACUAUAUCAUGAUGUCUUCUUAGGUGUUAUGCUCUGAGCGCAACCCUACUCGUUUGACAAGCUGACAUUCACAUGAAUAAACAAACAAAGCAUGUAUCAGUGCCGGUAGGUAAUAAAUAACAAAAAUAUUAAUUCCCUAAUAGUCAACAGAGACCAGAGAAUGAGUAAAUGUAUGGUGGCACAAAUGAGUGAUGAUAAUGUCAGGAAUGAAGCAAAAGAUGAUGAGCAGAACAAGUACUAAACCUGAGCCUAUCUAGUUAUCCCUUAUGCUACCCGAGUUCUUUCCCUAAACAAUAACACCACACAACAAUAAACUUUACUGUACCGGCAAAUAUAUCUAUGCCCUUUAACCCUGGUUUACAAACUUUCUGAAGCAGAACAAGCUGUCACUGGAACCCUAAACCAAAGCAAGACUAAACAGAAACCUUAAACACAAGAACCAAACAAGAAGAUAAGCUGAAAUUCACAACAACAACUUUAACCCCUUAAGGACUCAGGGUUUUUCCGUUUUUGCACUUUCGUUUUUUCCUCCUUACCUUUUAAAAAUCAUAACCCUUUCAAUUUUCCACCUAAAAAUCCAUAUUAUGGCUUAUUUUUUGCGUCGCCAAUUCUACUUUGCAGUGACAUUAGUCAUUUUACCCAAAAAUGCACGGCGAAACGGAAAAAAAAAUCAUUGUGCGACAAAAUCGAAAAAAAAACGCCAUUUUGUAACUUUUGG